UGGGGAAUUUUGGACAAUGGGCGAAANCNUGAUCCAGCAAUGCCGCGUGCAGGAUGAAGGCCUUCGGGUUGUAAACUGCUUUUGUACGGAACGAAAAAGCUUCUCCUAAUACGAGAGGCCCAUGACGGUACCGUAAGAAUAAGCACCGGCUAACUACGUGCCAGCAGCCGCGGUAAUACGUAGGGUGCGAGCGUUAAUCGGAAUUACUGGGCGUAAAGCGUGCGCAGGCGGUUAUGUAAGACAGAUGUGAAAUCCCCGGGCUCAACCUGGGAACUGCAUUUGUGACUGCAUGGCUAGAGUACGGUAGAGGGUAGUGGAAUUCCCGGUGUAGCAGUGAAAUGCGUAUAGAUCGGGAGGAACAUCCAUGGCGAAGGCAGCUACCUGGACCAACACUGACACUGAGGCACGAAAGCGUGGGGAGCAAACAGGAUUAGAUACCCUGGUAGUCCACGCCCUAAACGAUGCGAACUGGAUGUUGGGUGCAAUUUGGCACGCAGUAUCNAANCUAACGCGUUAAGUUCGCCGCCUGGGGAGUACGGUCGCNAGUACUG
rnacentral:rRNA from 1 species